ensembl:snoRNA SNORA70 Small nucleolar RNA SNORA70
CUGUGCUUCCAGUUAAGCCAGCUGGACUCCUCUCCUCUGGGGGGCAGGAAUACACUGGCUGCAAACAGCAGUGUCAUUGGUAGUGGACACGGCCUGUUGCUUGUGUGAGUUGUCCUAAGGGACCAUGGGAACAGUG